CUACAUGGAUACCUGUGGUAAUUCUAGAGCUAAUACAUGCUAAAAACCCCGACUCACGAAGGGGUGUAUUUAUUAGAUAAAAMACCAACGCCCUUCGGGGCUCCUUGGUGAAUCAUAAUAACUUAACGAAUCGCAUGGCCUUGCGCCGGCGAUGGUUCAUUCAAAUUUCUGCCCUAUCAACUUUCGAUGGUAGGAUAGUGGCCUACCAUGGUGGCAACGGGUAACGGGGAAUUAGGGUUCGAUUCCGGAGAGGGAGCCUGAGAAACGGCUACCACAUCCAAGGAAGGCAGCAGGCGCGCAAAUUACCCAAUCCCGAUACGGGGAGGUAGUGACAAUAAAUACUGAUACGGGGGCUCUUUUGGGUCUCGUAAUUGGAAUGAGAACAAUUUAAAUCCCUUAACGAGGAACAAUUGGAGGGCAAGUCUGGUGCCAGCAGCCGCGGUAAUUCCAGCUCCAAUAGCGUAUAUUAAAGUUGUUGCAGUUAAAAAGCUCGUAGUUGAACCUUGGGUCUGGCUGGCCGGUCCGCCUCACCGCGAGUACUGGUCCGGCUGGACUUUCCUUCUGGGGAACCUCAUGGCCUUCACUGGCUGUGGGGGGAACARGACUUUUACUGUGAAAAAAUUAGAGUGUUCAAAGCAGGCCUUUGCUCGAAUACAUUAGCAUGGAAUAAUAGAAUAGG
rnacentral:rRNA from 1 species